CUGGUUCCUCUUUUCUUUUAAUUUUCAAAACCCUCACAAGCCCUCACUUCACCCUUUUUGCUCCAGCCGAUCGGGCUCUCUAACUGCCCGUCGUACCACCACCGUACCCGGUGGCCGCCAAGCGCAGAGAUGGGCUUUUUAGCCUCGUUUUGAGGCACACUCGAAGGCCAUGCCUUCUCAGCCCCAAAGAAACUGAAACAAAGGUCCUCCCUCCCCUUUUGGCUCGACUUCGGCGAUUGGAGAAGAGAUCUCCGGCGAUGAGUCCGUGGGAAGAUCAAGGUGGUUGUCAGAGACUGAUGAAGAGGCGCGCGUGGUGGCCUUGCUGGUGAAGAGCGGCGGCUGAAGAAGGGGACUAGGGUUUGUUUGCUUGCUGAAAAUUUUUUAUAGCUAAUGGGCUAGGGUUAGUUGGUUUUGGGCUUUUGUAAUUGGGUCUGAUGGGUUUGGUUUAGUGGUUAGGUGGGUUAAGGUUUGUUUAGGCCCCGGCCAAAAUUGGGCUGUACAAAUGGAUUAUAGCCAUGGAAGAAAAAUCAAGAAGAAAUAGAAUUUUAAACCCAA